AUUAACAUAGUUUAAAAGAACAGCAGCCUUUCUCGUUGCAAGUCCCAAAAAUUUGGGUGUUAGUU
rnacentral:tRNA from 1 species